rnacentral:ncRNA from 1 species
AAAACUUAACAGGGGAGCUCCUGUUAGGGGCUGAGAAAGGGCUAGUGAGCACCUGACCCGUUGACCUGAUCAGGGUAAUGCCUGCGGAGGGAGAGUGAACGUUUACAACCG